rnacentral:rRNA from 1 species
GAUGAACGCUGGCGGCGUGCCUAAUACAUGCAAGUCGAGCGAACAGAUAAGGAGCUUGCUCCUUUGACGUUAGCGGCGGACGGGUGAGUUACACGUGGAUAACCUACCUAUAAGACUGGGAUAACUUCGGGAAACCGGAGCUAAUACCGGAUAACAUAUUGAACCGCAUGGUUCAAUAGUGAAAGGCGGCUUUGCUGUCACUUAUAGAUGGAUCCGCGCCGUAUUAGCUAGUUGGUAAGGUAACGGCUUACCAAGGCAACGAUACGUAGCCGACCUGAGAGGGUGAUCGGCCACACUGGAACUGAGACACGGUCCAGACUCCUACGGGAGGCAGCAGUAGGGAAUCUUCCACAAUGGGCGAAAGCCUGACGGAGCAACGCCGCGUGAGUGAUGAAGGUCUUCGGAUCGUAAAACUCUGUUAUCAGGGAAGAACAAAUGUGUAAGUAACUGUGCACAUCUUGACGGUACCUGAUCAGAAAGCCACGGCUAACUACGUG